UUCUGGACGAAAGGCUUCGAGAGAAAUUACUCUAUGCGGUGGAUCACUCGGCUCGUGUGUCGAUGAAGAGCGCAGCCAGCUGCGUGAAUUAAUGUGAAUUGCAGGACACGUUGAACAUCGACAUCUCGAACGCACAUUG
rnacentral:rRNA from 1 species